UCGUAACAAGGUUUCCGUAGGUGAACCUGCGGAAGGAUCAUUACUGAGUGCGGGCUGCCUCCGGGCGCCCAACCUCCCACCCGUGAAUACCUAACACUGUUGCUUCGGCGGGGAACCCCCUCGGGGGCGAGCCGCCGGGGACUACUGAACUUCAUGCCUGAGAGUGAUGCAGUCUGAGUCUGAAUAUAAAAUCAGUCAAAACUUUCAACAAUGGAUCUCUUGGUUCCGGCAUCGAUGAAGAACGCAGCGAACUGCGAUAAGUAAUGUGAAUUGCAGAAUUCAGUGAAUCAUCGAGUCUUUGAACGCACAUUGCGCCCCCUGGCAUUCCGGGGGGCAUGCCUGUCCGAGCGUCAUUGCUGCCCAUCAAGCCCGGCUUGUGUGUUGGGUCGUCGUCCCCCCCCGGGGGACGGGCCCGAAAGGCAGCGGCGGCACCGUGUCCGGUCCUCGAGCGUAUGGGGCUUUGUCACCCGCUCGACUAGGGCCGGCCGGGCGCCAGCCGACGUCUCCAACCAUUUUUCUUCAGGUUGACCUCGGAUCAGGUAGGGAUACCCGCUGAACUUAAGCAUAUCAAUAAGCGGAGGAAAAGAAACCAACCGGGAUUGCCUCAAUAACGGCGAGUGAAGCGGCAAGAGCUCAAAUUUGAAAUCUGGCCCCUCCGGGGUCCGAGUUGUAAUUUG
rnacentral:misc_RNA from 1 species